GGUAGCUCGCUGCCGAACCAGUCUGCGCAUCGGCAGUGGAUGCAGCGCAUUGUUGUACGCACGCACACGUCAGCAUACGCGCAUGCACAGGUGGCCGGCUCACGCGCGACGUUACGGUGGUCGCUCGUAACGCGAUGGCCAGGUGGCGGUGAUCUUAUUCGCGUAUUUUUUGUUCUGCUCUUUCACGACAGAGAUCCGGUGCGUACUCCCGAUCGUGAGUGCGAACGCCUGCCCCCCCCCCACUGGGCGGAGGGGCGAGUGCGGUGCCGGAUCGGACGUCGCCGCACCAACUCGAAGGGGUGUGAUUGCUCACACACAUGUGUGCCUAUGCAAGCAUCAUCGUCGUCUCCGCCGUCCCUCUAUGCUUCUGCUAUCGCUCCCACACGAAUCAGUCGAUGACCCCCGUCAACGCACCGAGGCUCUCGUCACUCCCGCUGGCAACGGCCUGGUGGCGUCAGCAUGGACUGGCAGACCGCCUCGAAGGCUUUCGAGGCUGUCGUCAGCCAACCCCGCAUCAGCGACCGCUUCAGCGGACCGCUGAUGGAGGCGUGUCACUGGCGUGGGCUGGCCUUUUGGCAGGCACUGAGCAGUCUCUCACCCCAUCGACCACCACGGCCACGGAUCGACCGCCAGAUUUGCCACUGGUUCUGGUGAGUGCCUGCUUGCUCAGCUACCCCGUCACAUACCGAGGUACCCGCACGAGCCUCCCAGCCUCGCUGCGGCCGACGCCGCUACUGUUCCUCACGGAGGUGCUGUUCAAGGAGCUGGGUCUUGUGCAAUGCGUUCCUGUGUGUCCCGAAGUGCAGUGGUUGGGGCUGCCGGUCCCUCGUGUGCCGCUGCGGCUUGUUCGAGGCUCCCGAGACACAGACGACGCCCGCCGAGGCAGCGGAUGGGCUGCGGCUCAGCACAGCUCAAGCGCGACUUUGCCAUCCUUGUCCAUGAGCGCCUCGGAUAGUGUCGCUAUCAAGGAUAAGCGCGAGGUGCGGUAUCUCGUCGAGUCCUCUGCCGAGGAUCACAUCCUGAUGCGGUACGAUGCACCGAAUGACACAUUCGCCGAGCAGUUGCCGCCCCCCCAGCUUCACUCAGCGUUCCUUACACAGUUGCUACAGGGCCUGAAAGCUGUGGAUGGCAUUAUUCUCAAGUCCUACUCGCCCAGCUGCGGGGUGCGGGAUGCCCGUCUCUACGAGGAGGCUGUCACGUCGCCGCCCUCGUCGCCUUGUGAUCAGCACGCAUGCAACGAUUGCGAGUGCGCAGGCAAGCCAACGUCGGUGUCUUUCACUGGUCGACGCCCCGCUGCAUCGGCGAGUGCACAGCGCCGCUUCGACCUUGUCGACGGCUUCUUCACACAGCAGCUGCGCGACUUCCUGGCCUCGGUGCACGGUGUGGAUGGAGGGCAACGUGCAGACGCCCGGUGCCACUCUGAGGCAGCAGCGCCAGUCAUCACCUGUGAUCGCCUGCUAACCGACUUCUACACUGAGGAGCGCCUCCGUCAAGCGCCGUUGGCCGGGAAAGUCAAGAAGCGACGUGUCGCUGGGAACGCUUCGGAGGCGGCGCCGCAUCUCACAUCACUGGACAGUUUCAUGGAGUCGGUGCUGCAGCAUCGAGACUGGCGUGUUUCGCAAGACCGCUGCUAACCCCCCUCCCCCUGUCAUACUUCUCUUUAUGUGGUGGUGCUGCCUCUGCCGCAGUCUCCUCUCGUCCUUUCCCAUGCCCUCUUGCUUCACCCCCCUCCCCGCAGCUGCCGCGUGACUGGCGGGCCGAAGAGGAGGUUGGGAAAAAAU
rnacentral:misc_RNA from 1 species